rnacentral:rRNA from 1 species
UUACGGGGGCAGCAGUGAGGAAUAUUGGACAAUGGGCGCAAGCCUGAUCCAGCCAUGCCGCGUGCAGGAAGACGGUCCUAUGGAUUGUAAACUGCUUUUAUACAGGAAGAAACACCUCUACGUGUAGAGACUUGACGGUACUGUAAGAAUAAGGAUCGGCUAACUCCGUGCCAGCAGCCGCGGUAAUACGGAGGAUCCAAGCGUUAUCCGGAAUCAUUGGGUUUAAAGGGUCCGUAGGCGGGCUUAUAAGUCAGUGGUGAAAUCACCCAGCUCAACUGGGAAACUGCCAUUGAUACUGUAGGUCUUGAAUUAUUAGGAAGUAACUAGAAUAUGUAGUGUAGCGGUGAAAUGCUUAGAUAUUACAUGGAAUACCAAUUGCGAAGGCAGGUUACUACUAAUAUAUUGACGCUGAUGGACGAAAGCGUGGGUAGCGAACAGGAUUAGAAACCCGGGUAGUCCC